rnacentral:rRNA from 1 species
UCUCCUGUUAAAUCCAACGGCCCAACCGUUGGUCUGCAGGAGAUACCGCCGGGCUAGGAGGCGGGAGAGGCGGACGCUACUCCGAGGGUAGGGGUAAAAUCCUUUGAUCCCCGGAAGACCACCAGUGGCGAAGGCGGUCCGCCAGAACGCGCUCGACGGUGAGGGAUGAAAGCUGGGGGAGCGAACCGGAUUAGAUACCCGGGUAGUCCCAGCUGUAAACGAUGCGAGCUAGGUGACACGACGCCUUCGGGGCAUCGUGGUGCCGCAGGGAAGCCGUUAAGCUCGCCGCCUGGGGAGUACGGACGCAAGUCUGAAACUUAAAG